CAGGAAGUAGUUUAAGCAGAAUAUCAGCUUUGGGUGUUGAUGGUGAGGCGUUUUGCCUUCUUCUUGA
rnacentral:tRNA from 1 species